AGGGCUGGUCGCAAGACCCGGGUCCAACGAUACGGUGUGGGUGUCCCAC
rnacentral:sRNA from 12 species